rnacentral:sRNA from 1 species
UGUUUUGCUUCUUUUUU